CCUACGGGGGGCAGCAGUGGGGAAUAUUGGGCAAUGGAGGCAACUCUGACCCAGCAACGCCGCGUGAAUGAUGAAGGUCUUCGGAUUGUAAAGUUCUUUUCUAAGGGAAGAAGAAAGUGACGGUACCUUAGGAAUAAGCCUCGGCUAACUACGUGCCAGCAGCCGCGGGAAUACGUAGGAGGCAAGCGUUAUCCGGAAUGACUGGGCGUAAAGGGUGCGUAGGUGGUUUGACAAGUUAGUAGCGCAACUCCGGGGCUCAACUUCGGAACUACUACUAAAACUGGUGGACUUGAGUGCAGGAGAGGCAGUCGGAAUUCCUAGUGUAGCGGUGGAAUGCGUAGAUAUUAGGCGGAACACCAGUGGCGAAGGCGGAUUGCUAGACUGUAACUGACACUGAGGCACGAAAGCGUGGGGAGCAAACAGGAUUAGAUACCCUGGUAGUC
rnacentral:rRNA from 1 species